rnacentral:rRNA from 1 species
UGGGGAAUAUUGGACAAUGGGCGAAAGCCUGAUCCAGCCAUGCCGCGUGUGUGAAGAAGGUCUUCGGAUUGUAAAGCACUUUAAGUUGGGAGGAAGGGCAGUAAGCGAAUACCUUGCUGUUUUGACGUUACCGACAGAAUAAGCACCGGCUAACUCUGUGCCAGCAGCCGCGGUAAUACAGAGGGGGCAAGCGUUAAUCGGAAUUACUGGGCGUAAAGUGCGCGUAGGUGGUUCGUUAAGUUGAAUGUGAAAGCCCCGGGCUCAACCUGGGAACAGCAUCUAAAACUGGCGAGCUAGAGUAGGGCAGAGGGUGGUGGAAUUUCCUGUGUAGCGGUGAAAUGCGUAGAUAUAGGAAGGGGCACCAGUGGCGAAGGCGACCACCUGGGCUCAUACUGACACUGAGGUGCGAAAGCGUGGGGAGCAAACAGG